CAUUUCAUUUCAUGGUUAUUUCUGAAGAUCAUUCUGUGAUAUAAAGGAGGGGAAAGUGAAGUGACAAGGUGCCUAGCAGCUCAUACCACCGUUCUGCAAAGUGGCUUGUGAUGGGGACAGGAGGCAGGUGUCCCAAAAAGAGGAAGAGUCUGAUCUUGGAAAUUAAAAAAUUGACCAGAGGGAAAUGGAAAGAACACAGGCUUUGAAGAUGAAAGACCUGGGUUCAAAUUCUGAUUCUGCAAUUUACUGGCUGUGUGAUCUUGGGCAAGUGACUUAACCAUUCUGAGCCUCAGUUUCCUCAUUUGUAAUGUGAGACUAUAACCCCACCUUUAAAGGCUGUGCUGAGAUGAA